UACGUAGGUGGCAAGCGUUAUCCGGAAUUAUUGGGCGUAAAGAGCGCGCAGGUAGUUAAUUAAGUCUGAUGUGAAAGCCCACGGCUUAACCGUGGAGGGUCAUUGGAAACUGGUUAACUUGAGUGCAGAAGAGGGAAGUGGAAUUCCAUGUGUAGCGGUGAAAUGCGUAGAGAUAUGGAGGAACACCAGUGGCGAAGGCGGCUCACUGGCCCGGUACUGACGCUGAGGUGCGAAAGCGUGGGGAGCAAACAGG
rnacentral:rRNA from 1 species